rnacentral:rRNA from 1 species
GACGAACGCUGGCGGCGUGCUUAACACAUGCAAGUCGAACGGAAAGGCCCUGCUUUUGUGGGGUGCUCGAGUGGCGAACGGGUGAGUAACACGUGAGUAACCUGCCCUUGACUUUGGGAUAACUUCAGGAAACUGGGGCUAAUACCGGAUAGGAGCUCCUGCUGCAUGGUGGGGGUUGGAAAGAUUCGGCGGUUGGGGAUGGACUCGCGGCUUAUCAGCUUGUUGGUGGGGUAGUUGCUUACCAAGGCUUUGACGGGUAGCCGGCCUGAGAGGGUGACCGGCCACAUUGCGACUGAGAUACGGCCCAGACUCCUACGGGAGGCAGCAGUGGGGAAUCUUGCACAAUGGGCGGAAGCCUGAUGCAGCAACGCCGCGUGCGUGAUGACGGCCUUCGGGUUGUAAACCGCUUUCGCCUGUGACGAAGCGUGAUUGACGGUAAUGGGUAAAGAAGCACCGGCUAACUACGUG